ACUGUAAUGGCUUGGGACUGCGAUUGCUGUAGUGGCUUUGGGGCUGCAGUUGCCACGAGCACCUUCGUACUCAGGACUCCAU